ACACUCCUGCGGGAGGCAGCAGUGGGGAAUUUUGGACAAUGGGCAAAAGCCUGAUCCAGCAAUGCCGCGUGAGUGAAGAAGGCCUUCGGGUUGUAAAGCUCUUUUGUCAGGGAAGAAACGGUGAGAGCUAAUAUCUCUUGCUAAUGACGGUACCUGAAGAAUAAGCACCGGCUAACUACGUGCCAGCAGCCGCGGUAAUACGUAGGGUGCAAGCGUUAAUCGGAAUUACUGGGCGUAAAGCGUGCGCAGGCGGUUUUGUAAGUCUGAUGUGAAAUCCCCGGGCUCAACCUGGGAAUUGCAUUGGAGACUGCAAGGCUAGAAUCUGGCAGAGGGGGGUAGAAUUCCACGUGUAGCAGUGAAAUGCGUAGAUAUGUGGAGGAACACCGAUGGCGAAGGCAGCCCCCUGGGUCAAGAUUGACGCUCAUGCACGAAAGCGUGGGGAGCAAACAGGAUUAGAAACCCCGGUAGUCCCAUGAU
rnacentral:rRNA from 1 species